GUACGGUCCAAAUACUCAAAAUUGAUCGGAUUAUCUUAUUUUUGUUUAUGAAUUGUGUUGUUAGUACUGGUCCGGGAACACAAUUAUCCCCCUUCAAUUUUCGUUGUCAAUUUUCGUUCACAAAUAUAGUUCCCUUUAAUUUCAGUAUAUUUUUUCUUAAAUUUUUUUUUGCCUUUCCUUUGAAUUUUCCCCCAUUUUUUUGCUAUAAUGUGAAUGUAAGGUCAUCUAAGAGAAUUUCUGUAAAAUUUCUUUUUGAUAUUUUGAGCAGAAAUGAGUGAUUUUGUUAGGUAAACAUAGGUGGGAUUUCCCCUUUUCGGAAGCUCUCUGGCUUAACCCAUACUGGUGUCCUUGUGUUUAGAAUUAGAAUUUAAAAUAUUUAUAAGACAGAUCAGUAUCUAAAAAAGAAUACUUUAAUGAACGAAUGAACUUUAUUACCUUAAAACUACAUUUCAUAGUAACAGAGAAAAUAUAUAUUUACAAUUAUUAAUACCAUGCACAUUCAUUUGGUUGAAAAAAAAACCUUGAUUUAACUUGCAUGUAGCUUGCAGGACCGAUUUACCUGUAACAUUUGUAGAAAUUUAGAUUAUUUUUAUGUAAGAUGACCGAUAGUGCUGUCUCAAUUCAGAGUUUGAACUUUAAAAAACAUGAUUAAGUGUGUAUUAAUAUAGUACAUAAUAGUAUAGAAUGUGAAAGCGAUUCCUUUGAUAUAAAAUUUGCAGCAAUAUUCCAGUAUAAAAUGUCUGUCUAUCUGUAGCUACAUCCAACACUUAACAUGUCAUGAUAUAAUGAUAUUCGUCACAGAUAUCUCUUGAGCCGCAGAAAUGACAACGUCUGUCUUGAAAGGGGUUAGUUAGUUAUAACUUUAUGAAGUUAAUCUCUUUUCAUGCUUUUGGAGAGUUGUC
rnacentral:lncRNA from 1 species